rnacentral:lncRNA from 1 species
GGGGACCUGGGCAACGGCGCCAGCGCGGGGCGGAGGGCCCUAAGUCUGCAGUCAGGAAAGUCGAGGAAGAGGAACAUGUGACACCACCAGAGAGUUGCUUACGUCCCCUGAGAGGAUGCUACCAAUUUUAUUUCCAGAGGGCUCAGGAAACGAGUGACUUCCAUUUAUGCAAGGACAUUCUAUACUGUGACAGGCUUCGACUGAGAGGUCACUCUUACUCUGCGCUCUGUACCCAGGCUCGGGACAGUCAUCCUUCAGAACAUAUGACUGCCAUGACUGGUCCGACACAAGCGGGAAGGACAGGCGUCUUUAAAAAAUGUGCAAGCGGGAGAGCCUUCGCUGUGCCAGUUUGUCGCACUGUCUCCGAUGAUUAACAGAAGAUCAGGCUGUCCCAUGACCCUCCUGGCAAGCCUGCGAGCAUUCAGAGGGAACUCACACACAUUCUUGAGCAGGCAGUGUGAGCAGGAACCUGCUGAUGACCCAGCAGUCAUGUCUGAAAAAACUAUGUCUAACAUGAGCUGCUGGAAAAUAUUAUCUGACACCUUCUUGCGAUGGAAUGACUUCAUGUUUUUUUUUAAAAGUUGAAAAGGAAUCAAGUAUGUAAGACCAUUUUUAGCUAGCUGUCCAGCCAGCUUCUUUUCUCCAAUCUUACAUUUUAAAAAAUAACUUUAAAGUAGCGUCGGCAUUAACUUAUAUUUGCUCAUAAUAAAAACCAAUGAAAUUUC